rnacentral:rRNA from 1 species
GUAUCUUAACCGCGCGAAGGUAGCAUAAUCAAUUGUUCUUUAAAUGGGGACUUGUAUGAAUGGCACCACGAAGGUUGUACUGUCUCCUUUUUUUAAUCAGUGAAACUAAUCCCCCCGUGAAGAAGCGGGAAUAAAAAUAUAAGACGAGAAGACCCUAUGGAGCUUCAAACUAAAUAACAAAUAUUGUAUCCCUUUAAAUUUUUCAGAGUAAAAACCUUUAUUUUUAUAUUAUGAUUAUUAGUUUUAGGUUGGGGUGACCGCGGAGUACAAUCCAACCUCCGCACUGAAAGAAUUCACUUCUGAACUAAGAGCUACAACUCUAAGUACCAAUAAAUUGACACCAUUUGACCCAAUAUUUUGACCAACGAACCAAGUUACCCUAGGGAUAACAGCGCAAUCCACUUCAAGAGACCCUAUCAAAAAGUGGGCUUACGACCUCGAUGUUGGAUCAGGGUAUCCCAGUGGUGCAGCCGCUACUAAAGGUUCGUUUGUUCAACGAUUAAAACCCUACGUGAUCUGAG